GCAGAGCGUCUGUCUUGUAAACAGAAUUUCGCUGCUUCGAAUCCAGCAUGAGGCA
rnacentral:tRNA from 1 species